rnacentral:ncRNA from 1 species
CUGAUCAGGCGCAUGGGCCAACGUUCGUGCAACGAGCCCCCUUCACGUGAAAACCACGUGAAUGCGCCAUUAUCAG